GACGAACGCUGGCGGCGUGCUUAACACAUGCAAGUCGAACGUAGUGGCGAACGGGUGAGUAACGCGUAAUCAACCUGCCCUUCAGAGGGGGACAACAGUUGGAAACGACUGCUAAUACCGCAUACUGAAGGAGGGGAUUGCGUCUGAUUAGCUAGUUGGAGGGGUAACGGCCCACCAAGGCGAUGAUCAGUAGCCGGUCUGAGAGGAUGAACGGCAACAUUGGGACUGAGACACGGCCCAGACUCCUACGGGAGGCAGCAGUGGGGAAUCGUCCGCAAUGGACGAAAGUCUGACGGAGCAACGCUGCGUGAGUGAUGACGGCCUUCGGGUUGUAAAGCUCUGUUAAUCGGGACGCGGUACCGGAAUAGAAAGCCACGGCUAACUCCGUGCCAGCCGCCGCGGUAAUAC
rnacentral:rRNA from 1 species